UUGACCUCGGAUCAGGUAGGGAUACCCGCUGAACUUAAGCAUAUCAAUAAGCGGAGGAAAAGAAACCAACCGGGAUUACCCUAGUAACGGCGAGUGAAGCGGUAAGAGCUCAAAUUUGAAAGCUGGCCCCUUCGGGGUCCGCAUUGUAAUUUGCAGAGGAUGCUUCGGGAGCGGUCCCCAUCUAAGUGCCCUGGAACGGGCCGUCAUAGAGGGUGAGAAUCCCGUAUGGGAUGGGGUGCCCGCGCCCGUGUGAAGCUCCUUCGACGAGUCGAGUUGUUUGGGAAUGCAGCUCUAAUUGGGUGGUAAAUUUCAUCUAAAGCUAAAUAUUGGCCGGAGACCGAUAGCGCACAAGUAGAGUGAUCGAAAGAUGAAAAGCACUUUGAAAAGAGAGUUAAAAAGCACGUGAAAUUGUUGAAAGGGAAGCGCUUGCGAUCAGACUCGCUCGCGGGGUUCAGCCGGCCUUCGGGCCGGUGUACUUCCCCGCGGGCGGGCCAGCGUCGGUUUGGGCGGCCGGUCAAAGGCCCCUGGAAUGUAACGCCUCUCGGGGCGUCUUAUAGCCAGGGGUGCCAUGCGGCCUGCCCGGACCGAGGAACGCGCUUCGGCUCGGACGCUGGCAUAAUGGUCGUAAGCGACC
rnacentral:rRNA from 1 species